CUCGACUCUGAUGUUUAUUCAUCAAACACUGAGAGGCCCUCCAGGCUGUCCUCUGCCGUCUAGACCCUCUGCUUCCCCAGGGAAAGUGGGUCCCUGGCCCACUCCCGGCUCUGGAUGCCUGGCGCACUUCCAGGACACCGGCCAUAAGGAGGAGCACCCAGCCUGGUCCUGCAGCAAGAGAGAGUCUGGUGAGACACAAGGAAGAACCCUCUGCCCCAGAGGGACAGUCAGCUCAGAGAGGGGACCGGAUAUCUUGUGGCAACUGGUCCUCAGUGUAACAGAAUCCUGAGCGUCACUCUCCUGCUGAUGUCUGACCACCCUCUUCCACUGUGCUGUCCCCCUGGGAAUUUAUGGCUGGGUGAUGAACCACCAUAUCUCUCCGAACACGAUGAGGACGUGGAUAACAUCAUCAACUCAUUGCUGAACCAUUCUCAUCAACCGGCUUUAAUCACUCCCAAGACUGAUAACCAUCAGAGGUUGUUAAUUCCCAGCAAAUUAUCUAAUCCACAUGUUGUCCAAUUUGUGUAAACCCCAGCCCACGAGGAUCAUAAAAUAAAUAAGCAUGAAAUGGUU